rnacentral:tRNA from 1 species
GCCUGGGUAGCUCAGUGGUUAAGCAUCUGCUUUUGGCUCAGGUCAUGAUCCUGGGGUCCUGGGAUCGAGUCCCACCUUGGGCU